rnacentral:rRNA from 1 species
GACGGAGGAUGCAAGUGUUAUCCGGAAUCACUGGGCGUAAAGCGUCUGUAGGUGGUUCAAUAAGUCAACUGUUAAAUCUUGAGGCUCAACUUCAAAAUCGCAGUCGAAACUAUUGGACUCGAGUAUAGUAGGGGUAAAGGGAAUUUCCGGUGGAGCGGUGAAAUGCGUAGAGAUCGGAAAGAACACCAACGGCGAAAGCACUCUGCUGGGCCGACACUGACACUGGAGAGACGAAAGCUAGGGGAGCGAAUGGG